rnacentral:rRNA from 1 species
GUGCAGCAGUCGAGAAUAUUUUCUCAAUGGGGCAACCCUGAAGGAGCGACGCCGCGUGGAGGAUGAAGGCUUUCGGGCUGUAAACUCCUGUCAUUUGAGAACAAGUGUAGCCAAGUAACUACUGGCUACUUGAUAGUAUCAGAAGAGGAAGGGACGGCUAACUCUGUGCCAGCAGCCGCGGUAAUACAGAGGUCCCAAGCGUUGUUGGAUUCAUUGGGCGUAAAGGGUGCGUAGGUGGCGCCGUAAGUGGGGUGUGAAAUUUCGGAGCUUAACUCCGAAACUGCAUUCCAUACUGCGGUGCUUGAGGACUGGAGAGGAGACUGGAAUUCAUGGUGUAGCAGUGAAAUGCGUAGAGAUCAUGAGGAAGACCAGUGGCGAAGGCGGGUCUCUGGACAGUUCCUGACACUGAGGCACGAAGGCCAGGGGAGCGAACGGGAUUAGAUACCCCCGUAGU